AUCAUCCUCAAUCAAGUCGUUCCAUCUUCCAAAGACCGUCGUUAAGGUAAUGCAUAUUGUCCACUCCGAUCCCUUUGUUCGUUGCCCUUAUUUCCUUAGCUGACAUCUUUGUGAAGCCAAUAGCAAGAGCAUGUUGCUUCCCUUCCGCCAUUAUUGCCACAGGUGUUUCCGCUUCAACUUCAUCGUCCAAGGCACCCCCAGGAGAUGUAAGACCAG
rnacentral:misc_RNA from 1 species